rnacentral:rRNA from 1 species
UACAGAGGUCUCAAGCGUUGUUCGGAUUCAUUGGGCGUAAAGCGCGUGUAGGCUGCUUCGCAAGUCGGAUGUGAAAGCCCUGGGCUCAACCCAGGAAGUGCAUUCGAAACUGCAAAGCUGGAGUCCUGGAGAGGAAGGCGGAAUUCUCGGUGUAGAGGUGAAAUUCGUAGAUAUCGAGAGGAACACCGGUGGCGAAGGCGGCCUUCUGGACAGUGACUGACGCUGAGACGCGAAAGCGUGGGGAGCAAACAGG